CCACCUAGGCGCCCCUGAACUGGAAACCCUUUAGCAUUCCUUCUAUAAUAAUAGGUUUGACAAACCUCACCACUCCUUGGUGCUGGCGAACCCCACCCUCUCCUUGACCGCAUCCUGCUGUCACUUCUCUUGCCCAGCGACACAAGAAUGGUUGGCUUGCCUCUGGGAGGGCAAAUGGUGAGGAGCCAGGCUCCGCGAGUCCUGAAGAGAAUUUUCUCACUGAUACCAUGGGGAGGGCAGAAAUGAAUAUACUGAAUAGCACUUUUUUUUUUCCCCUAACCAGAACAUUUAUUGUGCGACUAAUCCUGCAAAUCCUCUAGAUGAACUGGAUGCGGUGAGCUGCGGGUCGGGUUAGGGGUUCUUCCCUCCCGGGCGCUACGCGGGGAUGCGCGCGCACACGGUUUUCAGGCGCCGCAUGUUGGCGCCGCUGGUGCUUCACCUCAGGCUGCGCGCUCCAGCCGCACUUUCUCUGCCGCUCGGCAGCGGCGCCCCAUCUGCCCCAGGCCGACUCCCGAGGGUGGUAGAGCCACGGCGACGGCACAGCAGGUGGGUCUCACUGCCACGCGCUCCGCACGACCACGUCUCCUUCGUCGUCCCGUUUCCGCGGCGGAGACCACAGAGGCCGGAAGACGAGAUACUUCCGCUCUCUGCACGUGGCUUUUCAAGGAAGUUUGUCAGAACGUGAGGAGACUCACAGUUUGGGGAAUGAACCUGUCAGUGGCCGUCAAACUUAGUAAAAGGAGCCGCUGACAGCCCUUUCAGACGGUAAGGGAAGAGCCUACCUGAGAAUGGAGCCAGCCCUGCACACUUUACCUGAAGCUAGACCUCCCCUGGACCUUUCAGCCAAGUGAGCCAAGAGAUCUGCUUUGUUCAGCCAAGUGGAGGAUCCCACGGACUCAAGGCACCUGGAAGUGUGAAAAGCUGGCAGCAACCCUCCUUCUCCCCGACCCCAGCCAAGACAACAAGUGUCCCCAGGUUUUUGCAGCCUCUGCUCCUAUGCCCAGAUGCCCUUCCUUCCUCCCCUGGCUGGCUCCUGUUCAAGCUUCAGGUCUCGGCAUAAACAUCACCUCCUUGGAGGUGUGAGACGAAAUGGGAUUCCUUUGCUGGCUUGUCUGUUCCUCCUCUGUUCAAACUCUGCAUGGGAAGUUUCCAGGACUGAGGCCCAAGCCUCUUCUCAUCUGACUCUGCAUUUACUCCCCCUUGGGGCCGUCCCAUCAAUCUGUAGGCCAGUGGCCCUCAACUUUAUAUUUCCAGCCUGGAUCUUCUGAAAUCAAUGGGAUACUUGAGCGUCUCAAAUAUGAACAAGCCCCACACUGGACUUACGAUGUCUUCCCGUAAAUCUGCACCCCCUUCAGGUCCCCUGUUUCAAUAAAUGGAACCCCCCUCCCCCCAGUUAUCCAUAUCAUCAACUCAUUCUCCAUCCUCCACAGCCAGCUCAUCCUAGGCCCUGUGGCUUCUGCUCCACAAAUAUAUCUCACAUGUGUUCACCUCUGUCCAUCUCCACCACCACCACCCCAAUGCAGGCCAUUACUAUGACUCGCCCGGAUAACUCCUGUAGACUGUCCCUUUGCUUUUAUUCUCAACCCUGUUAUAAUCCAUUCUCUACACAGAACCCAGGAUUAUGACUUUCAGAUACAAAUGUAAGCAAUAUCAUUCACGUUUAAAGCCUUUUGAUGGUUUCUCUUAGCUUGGAUAUAAAACCCAAACUGGCUGGCUCAGUUAGUGGAGCAUGUGACUCUUGAUCUUGGGGUCAUGAAUUCAAGCCCCAUGUUGGGCAAAGAGCCUACAAACAAACAAAUAAAUACAAAUAAAAAUUAAAGUACAAAGUCAUUGGUAUGGUUCACAAUGCCCUGCGUGAGCUGGGCCCAGGGUUAUAAAAUCAAAUGUCUAUAGGGUACAGGUGAGUGACUUAAAUAAAUGAAACUAGCUAAGUCAGGAAAAUAGUAAGAGCAGGGACUGUGGCAAAUUGUGGAGUGCAUGCCUGUGGAAGAGUAUCGUCUCUCGAGUCCAGCAGAUUGUUGGCCUGUGAGAAGAUAGAACCUGUGGCAGGAUCUUCUGAUAUUUCAAGAGAAGCUCAGUCAUUCUGAUUUUUAAAUAAACCUAGGAAUUUUAAAGUUGGCAACUAAUUCGCAAACUUUUUUUUAUCUUAACAAAACAAAAAACAGAAAAUCAUAUCUGUGGGUCAGAUGGAGCUCCUCAAACAGCCAAAUGUUGACUUCUGCUCGAAGGAUCAUGGACAGAAAACUCUUAGAAAAAUUAAUCAUAGUUUAGUUUGAGAAGCACUUAAUGGGGUUAGGAGGUGGGGCUUGCAAAGAUAAAGUGUGUUUUCAUCCCCUUGCUGCAAUGAGAUAGAUUGAGAUACAGAGAAAUACAUUGCUCUGCUUAAUAUAGUAAAAUAUGUCUUUGGCAGGAAAAAAUUUGUGUUUUACAUUGGAUUGUGAGUUUUCUUUAGGGGAGAGGAGGUUUGGAGACCCUAAAAGAAGGAGGAAGAAGGAGAUGGGGAAAGGGCUGGGGUCCAGUGUCCAUGGCUCAGAAACAGGGCAGCAGGCCAAGCCUGUAAGGAGAGGGCAAAAGGUCUUCCCCGUGACGUAGUGUGACAGACGAACCACGAGAAUCCUGAGAUCUGCCAGUCAACUCAGUCCUUUCUGAUGUGGGCUCUCCCUCCUGUCCUUCCCUGUUUUGGCAAUCUCUGAACCCCACUGUCACAGGUUUGAGCUAGCCCUGGUUGUCUUGGGGUGAAGCCACCUGCAGAGAGCCAGGCAGAGGUGAUCUGAGCCAGAGGCAGCUGGGGGCACACAGGAAGGACCUGCUACAACCACCCACAGAGAUGUUUGAGGGAGCACCUGCCUGCCUGCAGCCC